UGAAUACGAGAUGCUACGGCAUCGAAGCAGUCUAUGUCAUACUUCCAAGAAAAGCUUGCACUGUCAUAAACAAAUAAUGCCUGUACCAUAACCGACACAGGUGGGUAGGUAGAGUAUACUAAGGGGCGCGAGAUAACUCUCUCUAAGGAACUCGGCAAAAUGACUCCGUAACUUCGGGAGAAGGAGUGCCUUAUUUUAUAAGGUUGCAAUAACAAGAUCCAAGCAACUGUUUACCAAAAACACAGGUCUCCGCUAAGUCGUAAGACGAUGUAUGGGGGCUGACGCCUGCCCAGUGCCAGAAGGUUAAAGAAGUUGGUUAGCAUUAGCGAAGCUGAUAACUGAAGCCCUGGUGAACGGCGGCCGUAACAAUAACGGUCCUAAGGUAGCGAAAUUCCUUGUCGGGUAAGUUCCGACCCGCACGAAAGGCGUAAUGAUUUGGAUACUGUCUCGGAGAGGGGCUCGGUGAAAUAGACUUGUCUGUGAAGAUGCGGACUACCUGCACCAGGACAGAAAGACCCUAUGAAGCUUUACUGUAACUUGAGAUUGAAAUUGGACUUUAUUUGCGCAGUAUAGGUGGGAGACGUUGAAAAUAUUCUUGCGGGAAUAUUGGAGUCAUCAGUGAGAUACCACUCUUAUAAUGUUAGAUUUCUAACUUUGUAUCAUUAUCUGGUCAAAGAACAGUCUCAGGCGGGCAGUUUGACUGGGGCGGUCGCCUCCCAAACGGUAACGGAGGCGCACAAAGGUUUCCUCUGAACGUGUAGAAAUCGUAUCUAGAGUGUAAAGGCAUAAGGAAGCUUGACUGUGAGACCUACAAGUCGAGCAGGGACGAAAGUCGGUCUUAGUGAUCUGACGGUGCUGAGUGGAAAGGCCGUCACUCAACGGAUAAAAGUUACUCUAGGAUAACAGGCUGAUCUCCCCCAAGAGUUCACAUCGACGGGGAGGUUUGGCACCUCGAUGUCGGCUCAUCGCAUCCUGGGGCGGUAGUACGUCCCAAGGGUUGGGCUGUUCGCCCAUGAAAGCGGUACGCGAGCUGGGUUCAGAACGUCGUGAGACAGUUCGGUCCAUAUCCGGUGUAGGCGUUAGAAUAUUGAGAGGAGCCUUCUUUAGUACGAGAGGACCGAGAAGGACAUACCUCUGGUGUACCAGUUAUCGUGCCAACGGUAAACGCUGGGUAGCUAUGUAUGGAGAGGAUAACCGCUGAAAGCAUCUAAGUGGGAAGCCCACCUCAAGAUAAGUAUUCUC
rnacentral:rRNA from 1 species